ACGCCGCGUGGGGGAUGAAGGCCUUCGGGUUGUAAACCCCUUUCAGCAGGGACGAAAUUGACGGUACCUGCAGAAGAAGCACCGGCCAACUACGUGCCAGCAGCCGCGGUAACACGUAGGGUGCAAGCGUUGUCCGGAUUCAUUGGGCGUAAAGGGCUAGUAGGCGGCUUGGCAAGUCGGAUGUGAAAACUUCAGGCUUAACCUGAAGCGGCCAUCCGAUACUGCUAUGGCUAGAGUCCGGUAGGGGACCACGGAAUUCCUGGUGUAGCGGUGAAAUGCGCAGAUAUCAGGAGGAACACCGGUGGCGAAGGCGGUGGUCUGGGCCGGAACUGACGCUGAGUAGCGAAAGCGUGGGUAGCGAACAGGAUUAGAUACCCUGGUAGUCCACGCCGUAAACGUUGGGCACUAGGUGUGGGGGAUUAUCAACGUCCUCCGUGCCGUAGCUAACGCAUUAAGUGCCCCGCCUGGGGAGUACGGCCGCAAGGCUAAAACUCAAAGGAAUUGACGGGGGCCCGCACAAGCGGCGGAGCAUGUGCCUUAAUUCGAGGCAACGCGAAGAACCUUACCUGGGUUGAACUACGCAGGAAAAGCCGUAGAGAUACGGUGUCCUUCGGGGUCUGCGAGAGGUGGUGCAUGGCC
rnacentral:rRNA from 1 species